rnacentral:rRNA from 1 species
AUUGAACGCUGGCGGCAUGCUUUACACAUGCAAGUCGAACGGUAACAGGCCGCAAGGUGCUGACGAGUGGCGAACGGGUGAGUAAUUCAUCGGCACGUGCCAAGUCGUGGGGGAGAACGCAGCGAAAGCUGUGCUAAUACCGCAUACGAUCAAUGGAUGAAAGAGGGGGACCGUAAGGCCUCGCGCGAUUGGAGCGGCCGAUGGCAGAUUAGGUAGUUGGUGGGGUAAAGGCCCACCAAGCCAACGAUCUGUAGCUGGUCUGAGAGGACGACCAGCCACACUGGGACUGAGACACAGCCCAGACUCCUACGGGAGGCAGCAGUGGGGAAUUUUGAACAAUGGGCGCAAGCAUGAUCCAGCAAUGCCGCGUGCAGGAAGAAGGCCUUCGGGUUGUAAACUGCUUUUGUACGGAACGAAAAGGUCUGGGUUAAUACCCUGGGCUGAUGACGGUACCGUAAGAAUAAGCACCGGCUAACUACGUGCCAGCAGCCGCGGUAA